GGCGAACGCUGGCGGCGUGCUUAACACAUGCAAGUCGAACGGGAUUUAGUAAACAGAAGCCUCGGUGGAAGAUUACUAAUGAGAGUGGCGAACGGGUGAGUAACGCGUGAGCAACCUGCCUAUGACAGUGGGAUAGCCUCGGGAAACCGGGAUUAAUACCGCAUAAAAUCGUAGAAACACAUGUUUUAACGGUCAAAGAUUUAUCGGUCAUAGAUGGGCUCGCGUCUGAUUAGCUAGUUGGUGAGAUAACAGCCCACCAAGGCGACGAUCAGUAGCCGGUCUGAGAGGAUGAACGGCCACAUUGGAACUGAGACACGGUCCAAACUCCUACGGGAGGCAGCAGUGGGGAAUAUUGCACAAUGGGGGAAACCCUGAUGCAGCGACGCCGCGUGAACGAAGAAGGUAUUCGUAUCGUAAAGUUCUGUCCUAUGGGAAGAUAAUGACAGUACCAUAGAAGAAAGCUCCGGCUAAAUACGUG
rnacentral:rRNA from 1 species